AGCGGCAAACGGGGUAGUAACGGGUAGGCAACGUACCCUCGGGACGGGGAUAGCCACGGGAAACUGUGGGUAAUACCCGAUAAUCUCUCAGAGAUUUAUUCAUUGAGAGCAAAGGUGAGAUUCCACCUGAGGAGCGGCCUGCUUCGUAUUAGCUAGUUGGUGAGGUAACGGCUCACCAAGGCUUCGAUGCGUAGGGGGUGUGAGAGCAUGACCCCCACCACUGGGACUGAGAUACUGCCCAGACACCUACGGGUGGCUGCAGUCGAGAAUCUUCGGCAAUGGGCGAAAGCCUGACCGAGCGACGCCGCGUGUGGGAUGAAGGCCCUUGGGUUGUAAACCACUGUCAGAGGGGAUGAAGUGCAUGUGAGUUAUCUCAUGUGUUUGACAUAGCCUCAGAGGAAGCACGGGCUAAGUUCGUGCCAGCAGCCGCGGUAAUACGAACUGUGCAAACGUUAUUCGGAAUCACUGGGCUUACAGGGUGCGUAGGCGGCUUGUUAAGCAGGGUGUGAAAUCCCUCGGCUCAACCGAGGAAUUGCGCCCUGAACUGGCGAGCUGGAGUGGGACAGAGGUGCGCGGAACUUCCAGUGGAGCGGUGAAAUGUGUUGAUAUUGGAAGGAACGCCGGAGGCGAAAGCGGCGCACUGGGUCUUAACUGACGCUGAGGCACGAAAGCCAGGGGAGCAAACGGGAUUAGAUACCCCGGUAGUCCUGGCCGUAAACUAUGAGCACUGGC
rnacentral:rRNA from 1 species